rnacentral:rRNA from 1 species
ACUCAAAGGAAUUGACGGGGACCCGCACAAGCGGUGGAUGAUGUGGAUUAAUUCGAUGCAACGCGAAAAACCUUACCUACCCUUGACAUGGUUCGAAUCCUAUAGAGAUAGAGGAGUGCUCGCAAGAGAACGAAUACACAGGUGCUGCAUGGCUGUCGUCAGCUCGUGUCGUGAGAUGUUGGGUUAAGUCCCGCAACGAGCGCAACCCUUAUCAUUAAUUGCCAGCAUGUAAAGAUGGGCACUUUAAUGAGACUGCCGGUGACAAACCGGAGGAAGGUGGGGAUGACGUCAAGUCCUCAUGGCCCUUAUGGGUAGGGCUUCACACGUCAUACAAUGGUGCAUACAGAGGGUUGCCAAGCCGCGAGGUGGAGCUAAUCUCAGAAAGUGCAUCGUAGUCCGGAUUGGAGUCUGCAACCCGACUCCAUGAAGUUGGAAUCGCUAGUAAUCGCGGAUCAGCAUGUCGCGGUGAAUACGUUCCCGGGUCUUGUACACACCGCCCGU